rnacentral:misc_RNA from 2 species
CAAGAACGCCCGGGCUUCGGCCUGGUUAUUCAUAACCCUUUGUUGUCCGACUCUGUUGCCUCCGGGGCGACCCUGCCUUCGGGCGGGGGCUCCGGGUGGACACUUCAAACUCUUGCGUAACUUUGCAGUCUGAGUAAACUUAAUUAAUAAAUUA